GUAAUUUAAUAUAAUUUAGAAAUAAAUUUUGGCAGUUUAUGCAUUUUAACACAAUUUCCAUUGAUGUCAGCAGCACUGUUGACAGAGAGAGCAGCGAACUCUCUCGCUCUCAUGCCCUAAGCGCACUCCCUCGUGCCUUUGCUCUCGGGCUGCGCUGCUGCGAUCCAACGCACCGGCUCCGUAGCUCUUGUGCAUAAAGCAACUAUAUAAGGAGGCCUUGUCGGUGGCAGAGUUACUCGCUGCGUUACCCAAUUCUCAGUGCACGUUUGCUUGUCGAUGCGGAAGGUUAGUUGCGGACAAAAUUUUGUUUUCAAUAUUUUUUUAAAUGUUUAUAUUUUCAGAACACAGGCUACUAUUA
rnacentral:lncRNA from 1 species